CCUACGGGGGGCUGCAGUGGGGAAUAUUGGACAAUGGGGGCAACCCUGAUCCAGCCAUGCCGCGUGUGUGAAGAAGGCCCUCGGGUUGUAAAGCACUUUCAGUGAGGAAGAACGCCUGGUGGUUAAUACCCAUCAGGAAAGACAUCACUCACAGAAGAAGCACCGGCUAACUCCGUGCCAGCAGCCGCGGUAAUACGGAGGGUGCGAGCGUUAAUCGGAAUUACUGGGCGUAAAGCGCGCGUAGGUGGCUUGAUAAGCCGGUUGUGAAAGCCCCGGGCUCAACCUGGGAACGGCAUCCGGAACUGUCAAGCUAGGGUGCAGGAGAGGAAGGUAGAAUUCCCGGUGUAGCGGUGAAAUGCGUAGAGAUCGGGAGGAAUACCAGUGGCGAAGGCGGCCUUCUGGACUGACACUGACACUGAGGUGCGAAAGCGUGGGUAGCAAACAGGAUUAGAUACCCUAGUAGUC
rnacentral:rRNA from 1 species